GGGGGGGGGGGGGGGGGGGCUGUGGGGGUGCAGGGCGGGCGGGGGCGGGGGCUUCGGGCUGGCGGCGGGGGGCGAGCGGGGGAGUAGGGCGGCGGGACGUGCCCAGUGGUGGGGGAUAGCCCGGCGGCAGCCGGAUUCAUAGCGCAUCCGGCCUGGGGGGGAAAGCGGGGGGCCGGACGGCCUCGCGCUAUUGGAACGGCCGAUGUCGGAGUAGCUAGUUGGUGGGGUAAAGGCUUACCAAGGCGACGAUCCGUAGCUGGUCUGAGAGGACGACCAGCCACACUGGGACUGAGACACGGCCCAGACGCCUACGGGAGGCAGCAGUGGGGAAUUUUGGACAAUGGGGGCAACCCUGAUCCAGCCAUGCCGCGUGCGGGAAGAAGGCCUUCGGGUUGUAAACCGCUUUUGUUCGGGAAGAAAUCCUCUGGGCUAAUACCCCGGGGGGAUGACGGUACCGGAAGAAUAAGCACCGGCUAACUACGUG
rnacentral:rRNA from 1 species